rnacentral:tmRNA from 2 species
GGGGGUGCACUGGCUUCGACGGGGGUCGCGAAAUCGCCUGGCGCAUGCCGAGGGGGUAGCUUUCCUCGUAAAUCCAGCUGCAAAACUCUAGUUGCCAACGACGACAACUACGCUCUCGCCGCUUAAGGCGUAAGCCCCGAACCCACUUGUGCCCGUGCUCGUGGAUGUAGGGUCAUUAUCACGGAACCGGCUGCGGUGGUUGCCUGUCAACCGCGGCUUAACAAAAACAGGCUGGUCCUGGGGUGCGCUUCGCCCACUGUGCUGCCACAGGACGAGACCCAACGGUGAGCUAAGCAUGUAGUGCCGGGGAUGGAGUGCCUUCGGACGGGGGUUCGAUUCCCCCCACCUCCACCA